UGGGGAAUAUUGCACAAUGGAGGGAACUCUGAUGCAGCGACGCCGCGUGAACGAAGAAGGCUUUCGAGUCGUAAAGUUCUAUUAUAUGGGAAGAUAAUGACGGUACCAUAAGAAAAAGCCCCGGCUAACUACGUGCCAGCAGCCGCGGUAAUACGUAGGGGGCUAGCGUUGUCCGGAAUCACUGGGCGUAAAGGGUUCGCAGGCGGAAAUGCAAGUCAGGUGUAAAAGGCAGUAGCUUAACUACUGUAAGCAUUUGAAACUGCAUAUCUUGAGAAGAGUAGAGGUAAGUGGAAUUUUUAGUGUAGCGGUGAAAUGCGUAGAUAUUAAAAAGAAUACCGGUGGCGAAGGCGACUUACUGGGCUCAUUCUGACGCUGAGGAACGAAAGCGUGGGUAGCAAACAGG
rnacentral:rRNA from 1 species